rnacentral:rRNA from 1 species
CCUACGGGAGGCAGCAGUGGGGGAUAUUGCACAAUGGGGGCAACCCUGAUGCAGCGACGCCGCGUGAGCGAUGGAGUACUUCGGUAUGUAAAGCUCUGUCAGCAGGGAAGAGAAUGACGGUACCUGACCAAGAAGCCCCGGCUAAAUACGUGCCAGCAGCCGCGGUAAUACGUAUGGGGCAAGCGUUAUCCGGAUUUAUUGGGUUUCAAGGGUGCGUAGGCGGAAGGUUAAGUCAGCGGUCAAAUGUCGGUGCUCAACACCGGCCUGCCGUUGAAACUGGUCUUCUUGAGUGAGCGAGAAGUAUGCGGAAUGCGUGGUGUAGCGGUGAAAUGCAUAGAUAUCACGCAGAACUCCGAUUGUGAAGGCAGCAUACCGGCGCUCAACUGACGCUGAGGCACGAAAGCGUGGGGAUCGAACAGGAUUAGAUACCCGAGUAGUC